GACGAACGCUGGCGGCGUGCUUAACACAUGCAAGUCGAACGGAAAGGCCCUGCUUUUGUGGGGUGCUCGAGUGGCGAACGGGUGAGUAACACGUGAGUAACCUGCCCUUGACUUUGGGAUAACUUCAGGAAACUGGGGCUAAUACCGGAUAGGAGCUCCUGCUGCAUGGUGGGGGUUGGAAAGUUUCGGCGGUUGGGGAUGGACUCGCGGCUUAUCAGCUUGUUGGUGGGGUAGUGGCUUACCAAGGCUUUGACGGGUAGCCGGCCUGAGAGGGUGACCGGCCACAUUGGGACUGAGAUACGGCCCAGACUCCUACGGGAGGCAGCAGUGGGGAAUAUUGCACAAUGGGCGGAAGCCUGAUGCAGCAACGCCGCGUGCGGGAUGACGGCCUUCGAGUUGUAAACCGCUUUCGCCUGUUACGAAGCGUGAGUGACGGUAAUGGGUAAAGAAGCACCGGCUAACUACGUG
rnacentral:rRNA from 1 species